rnacentral:misc_RNA from 1 species
AGUCAUCGAACGGCGGGGUAUUCGCUUCGUCAUUCGACCCGAAGAGAGCCCGAGGCGGCGCGGCCGGCAGAAAAUGAUCGACCAUGUCGACCCUGACGUCGCUCGGGGCCAGUGGACGUGGGAACUGACCGCGGCGGGGCUCGAAUUCAGAGGCGGGCGGCCGAGGAAGUGAUCCUGCUCGACACCAAUGCGGUGAUCUGGCUGCAUCAGCGGGACCGCCGGACGAAACGGCUCGAGAAAAAUCUGACCUUGUACGCGUCGCCGGCCAGCCUCCUCGAGUUACAAAUCCUGGUCGAGGCGGGGCGUUUGCGCCUCCGGUCCGGGUUCCGGGUCGACCAGCUCGUCGGCGAUUCGCGGUUGCUCCUGGACGAUCCACCGGCGGCCGACUGGUUUGCUCAAGCGGUCGACGUUGGCUGGACACGCGAUCCCUUCGACCGACUGAUCGUGGCGCACGCCGAGCUUCGCGGCUGGCGUCUCGCGACGGGCGAUUCGGAGCUCGUCACUAGGCUUGGCGAGCACCGGACUCUGGACCUUUCGUGAACGCGAGAGACGGAAAAGGGUCCGCAGGCCGCGCUCGUCAUCACCAAGACCGGAUGGAACGUUAACCGCCUCCGCGACGGUAAGCGAGCGCACUCCCGUCUGCGCCUCGAUGAUGGGUCCUACCAAUCCACGUGCAUGCCGAGCUUGAUCAGCCUUCCGCGCUGGAUGCCGUUGACCGCCCCAUAGCUGGGUCCGAGAAUAGACGAGCGCGCGAUGAUUGUGGCCGAGUUUGCAAGGUUAUAGAUAUCCAGACGCGGCUGGUACACCUUACCGCCAGCCCUGAAGGGCAUCCGGAAGCUCAUGUCGAGCUGAUUCAGAUCCGGCAGACGCGUCGUCCCACGCGGCUCGGUCGUGACGUUCGUGGUCCCUUGCGUCAACGCCACGGUAUUGCUGCCGACCGACACCUGCGUCAGCUCGGGAAAUCCUUUCUGGUGCUGGAACGUGCCGCUCAUCGAUAUGCCCAGCGGUAGGUCGUACAGCCCCGAGAGGCGGAACGAAAACGGCGUAUCGUUCCCGACGAUCCCACGAGCGAACUCCAUCGAGUUCGGGUUGUUCAGGUCGGUAUUGCCGACGUAGCCAGUGGUCUCGCCGAUGCUGACGCCGCCGGUCAUCAUCCAGCCAUUGCUCAUCCGCUUGUUGAGUGAAAUAUCCGUGCCGUUGUAGGUGCUGUCGAGCUCGGGCGCGUUUGUCCAGACGAGGUCCUGCCGCCCGCGCAAAGCGGGCGAUUGGUUGUAGACCGUCACAGGGACGCCGCUGCUGGCCUCGACGACGUUCAACGGAAUGUACGUGUCCAUCGGGACCGCGAUGUUACGAGAAC